rnacentral:rRNA from 1 species
GUGUCAGCCGCCGCGGUAAUACGGGGGGGGUAAGCGUUGUUCGGAAUUACUGGGCGUAAAGGGCUCGUAGGCGGCCAACUAAGUCAUACGUGAAAUCCCUCAGCUUAACUGGGGAACUGCGUGUGAUACUGGAUGGCUUGGAUUUGGGAGAGGGAUGCGGAAUUCCAGGUGUAGCGGUGAAAUGCGUAGAUAUCUGGAGGAACACCGGUGGCGAAGGCGGCAUCCUGGACCAAUAUUGACGCUGAGGAGCGAAAGCCAGGGGAGCAAACGGGAUUAGAAACCCUUGUAGUCC